GGUGCAGGUGCAGAAAAUCUCUCACAUUUGUCACAGACUAGUAGAUCUACUACUAGUAGUACUAGUACUACAGUGACAGUAUGGCGGUGGGAGUAGAGCAGAGGCUUGUCGUUGUGCCUCCUGCCUUCGACUAGACUAUGUCAUCCUGAGUAUUUACACUGCAAGAGUUUCCUCGGCGAAGCAAGCUAGAAUUUAUUUGCACAAUCUUACUAUUUGCCUCUAAGUAACUAGAACAUAGUGGUCAGAACAGGCCGGUUAUUGGCAAGCGUGGCGCAUAGUCCGUAAAUAACGUACUUAUGAAGGGAUGCAGCAGUGCGCUAUUUCUACCUUCAAUUGCUACAUCUGUGGAAGAGGAUAAUGUUUCUAGCGCGCUCACGGACGUAUUCAGCCAUAGACUUGGCAGGAAGACUUGGUGUACGGUUGGCUCAUCUCAUAGUCUAGCUGACAUAUUUCAAUCAGUGCGUUGAAAGAGAACAUCUCCUCUCGCUGAUGGAGUCCUUCUAGACCAGAGACUUGGUGUACGGUUGGCUCAUCUCAUAGUCUAGCUGACAUACUUCAAUCAGUGCUUUGAAAGAGAACAUCCCCUCUCGCAGAUAGAGUCCGUCUAGACCAGAGCUGCCUGUAGCGGAACAGCUGGACGCACGUCAAUGCCAUGCCUGCCUUCGGUGGUUCCGAAGUGCCGGUGGACUUGCUGUGCACAAGUGCACGACACCCGCCCUGGCAUCACCACCCACACCCCAGCGCAUACCAAUCACCAGCCAUCCGUGGUGCAACCAGCACUGCGCUACCUGUGAUCGCGCUACCUGUGAUCGUCUCCACAUGUCACUUCCAACGUACCUCUCAACAACAUGACCCAGCUGUGAUCUAUGCAACCAGACCAGGGUGGCGAUGGUCAGUUCUUGAGCUUCGAAGGGGCAGAAAG